AGUGAACGCUGGCGGUAGGCCUAACACAUGCAAGUCGAACGGCAGCACAGGAGAGCUUGCUCUCUGGGUGGCGAGUGGCGGACGGGUGAGGAAUACAUCGGAAUCUACUUUUUCGUGGGGGAUAACGUAGGGAAACUUACGCUAAUACCGCAUACGACCUACGGGUGAAAGCAGGGGACCUUCGGGCCUUGCGCGAUUGAAUGAGCCGAUGUCGGAUUAGCUAGUUGGCGGGGUAAAGGACCACCAAGGCGACGAUCCGUAGCUGGACUGAGAGGAUGAUCAGCCACACUGGAACUGAGACACGGUCCAGACUCCUACGGGAGGCAGCAGUGGGGAAUAUUGGACAAUGGGCGCAAGCCUGAUCCAGCCAUACCGCGUGGGUGAAGAAGGCCUUCGGGUUGUAAAGCCCUUUUGUUGGGAAAGAAAUCCAGCUGGCUAAUACCCGGUUGGGAUGACGGUACCCAAAGAAUAAGCACCGGCUAACUUCGUGCCAGCAGCCGCCGUAA
rnacentral:rRNA from 1 species